rnacentral:rRNA from 1 species
GAUGAACGCUGACAGAAUGCUUAACACAUGCAAGUCAACUGGAAUUUGGGUUUUUAACUUAGGUUUGGGUGGCGGACGGGUGAGUAACGCGUAAAGAACUUGCCUCACAGCUAGGGACAACAUUUGGAAACGAAUGCUAAUACCUAAUAUUAUGAUAAUAGGGCAUCCUAUAAUUAUGAAAGCUAUAAGCGCUGUGGGAGAGCUUUGCGUCCCAUUAGCUAGUUGGAGAGGUAACGGCUCACCAAGGCGAUGAUGGGUAGCCGGCCUGAGAGGGUGAUCGGCCACAAGGGGACUGGGACACGGCCCUUACUCCUACGUGAGGCAGCAGUGGGGAAUAGUGGACAAUGGACCAAGAGUCUGAUCCAGCAAUUCUGUGUGUACGAUGAAGUUUUCCGGAAUGUAAAGUGCUUUCAGUUGGGAAGAAAGAAAUGACGGUACCAACAGAAGAAGUGACGGCUAAAUACGUG